CUGAUUCUAUUGAAAAGAUUAACUCUAUUGACAAUAUUAACUCUAUUGACUAUAUUGACUCUAUUGACAAUAUCAACACUUUUUACUAUAUUGACUCUAUUGACCCUAUUUACAGUAUUGACUAUAUUGACUCUAUUUUGACUCUAUUGACUCUAUUGACCGAUUUGACCACAUUGACUCUAAUGACAAUGUUGACUAUAUUGACCCUAUUUAUAUUGACACUAUUGAGUAUAUUGACUAUACUGACCCUAAAUAAAUAUAUUAAGUCUAUUGACUAUAUUAACUCUAUUGACUAUAUUGACCAUAUUAACACUAUUGAAACCUUUUACAAUAUUGACUAUGUUGACCCUAUUUAAAUGGUUUAUAUUGACCCUAUUUACAGUAUUGACUCUAUUUACCAUAUUGUCCCUAUUGACUCUAUUAAAUAUAUGAAGUCAAUUGACUAUAUUGACAAUUUUGACACUAUUGUAACGAUCGUCGUAGAGAGGAGACCAAGAUGCAGCGUGGCAUGUGUUCAUGAUUAUUUAUUUGAAUCAAACAAACACCCGAACAAAAUAACAAAGGGAAACGAAAGCGCACAGUUCUGUCAGGUACAGAAACACAAAACAGAAACAACUACCCACAAACACAGGUGGGAAAAGGCUGCUUAAGUAUGGUUCCCAAUCAGAGACAACGAUAGACAGCUGACUCUGAUUGGAAAUCAUAUCUGGCCAAAACAUAGAAAUAUAAUGACAUAGAAUGCCCACCCCACACCCUGACCUAACAUAAUAGAGAAAUAAACAGUCUCUCUCAGGUCAGGGUGUGACAGUACCCCCCCCAACGGUGCAGACUCCCGGCCACAAACCUGAACCUAUAGGGGAGGGUCCGGGUGGACAUCUAUUCUUGGCAGUGGCUCUGGUUCAGAGCAUAGCCCCCACUCCGCCCGCUGAUCCCCCCGCUUCUGUGUCGCUGGAGGAGCCAGUCCGUGGAUCAUUGCCAGAGGCUCUGAACUGCCAACCACCGCUGAAGACUCCGGGCUGCAGGCCGCCGCUGAAGACUCCGGGCUGCAGGCCAUCUCAGGAGGUUCCGGGCUGCAGGCCGUCUCAGGAGGUUCCGGGCUGCAGGCCGUCUCAGGAGGUUCCGGGCUGCAGGCCGUCUCAGGAGGUUCCGGGCUGCAGGCCGUCUCAGGAGGUUCCGGGCUGCAGGCCGUCUCAGGAGGUUCCGGGCUGCAGGCUGUCUCAGGAGGUUCCGGGCUGCAGGCCAUCUCAGGAGGUUCCGGGCUGCAGGCCGUCGCUACAGGCUCCAUGCCAUGGAUCAUCACUGCAGGCUUUGUGCCAUGGAUCAUCACUGGAGGCUUCGGACCAUGGAUCAUCCCUACAGGCUCCGGGCCAUGGAUCGUCACUGGAGGCUUCGUGCCAUGGAUCAUCACUGGAGGCUUCGUGCCAUGGAUCAUCACUGGAGGCUUCGGACCAUGGAUCAUCACUGGAGGCUUCGGCCCAUGGAUCAUCACUGGAGACUUCUUAUGUGGAGCCGGAACGGGUCUCACCGGACUGAGGAGACGUACUGACAGCCUGGUACGUGGAGCAGGCACAGGGCGUUUUGGGGCUGCCUCUCGUGCUUCCUUCCUUCCUUGCCGUGCUAGUUCCUCUCUUGCUGCCUUCACCUGCCUCCCCAGCAGGCUUCUGUAUCUCUCCAAUACUUGCCCCCAAGUCCAGUCUAUCCUCUCCUCCAACUCCUCCAGAGACCAGGAAUCCAUCUCCUCCCGGGCACGCUGCUUGAUCCAGUUGUGGUGGGUAGUUCUGUAACGAUCGUCGUAGAGAGGUGACCAAGAUGCAGCGUGGCACAUGUUCAUGAUUAUUUAUUUGAAUCAAACAAACACUCGAACAAAAAUAACAAAGGGAAAUGAAAGCGCACAUUUCUGUCAGGUACAGAAACACAAAACAGAAAACAACUACCCACAAACACAGGUGGGAAAAGGCUGCCUAAGUAUGGUUCCCAAUCAGAGACAACGAUAGACAGCUGCCUCUGAUUGGAAACCAUACCUGGCCAAAACAUAGAAAUAUAAUGACACCCCGACCUAACAAAAUAGAGAAAUAAACCGUCUCUCUCAGGUCAGGGUGUGACAACUAUUGACUCUAUUGACCCUAUUGACCGAUUUGACCACAUUGACUCUACUGACAAUGUUGACUAUAUUGACCCUAUUGACUCGAUUGGCUCUAUUGACUAUAUUGACUAUAAUGACUCUACUGAUCCUAUUGACUCUAUUGACAAUAUUGAAUAUAUUGAAUGUAUUGACUAUAUUAACUCUAUUGACUAUAUCGAAACUUUUUACAAUAUUGACUAUGUUUACUAUAUUGACCCUUUUGACUCUAUUGACUAUUUAAAUUGGUUAUAUUGACCUUAUUGACACUAUUGACUAUAUUGACCCCAUUGACUCUAUUGACCUUAUUUACAGUAUUUACUAUACUGACUCUAUUUACUAUAUUGUCUAUAUUGUCCCUAUUGACUCUAUUAACUAUUUUGACUCUAUUGACUCUAUUGACUCUCUUGAACUUUUUGACUCUAUUGACCGUAUUGACAAUAUUGAGUAUAUUGACUCAUUGACUUUAUUGACUAUAUUGACCCUAUUGACUCUAUUGACAUUAUUAACUCUAUUCACUCUGUUGACCAUAAUGACCUUAUUGACUCUAUUGACCGUAUUGACCAUAUUGACUCUAUUGACUCUAUUGAUUACAUUGACUCUAUUGGAUACUUUGACUAUAUUGACUACAUUUACUAUAUUGACUCUAUGGACCCUACUGACCCUAUUGACACUAUUUACUAUUUACAGUAUUGUAUAUAUUGUCCCUAUUGACUCUAUUAACUAUUUUGACUCUAUUAACUCUAUUGGCUCUAUUGACCUUUUUGACUAUAUUGACAUUAUUAACUCUAUUGACUCUAUUAACUCUAUUGUCUAUUUUGACCUUAUUGACUCUAUUGACCGUAUUGAUCGUAUUGACUCUAUAGACUCUAUAGACUCUAUUGACUCUAUUGACUCUAUUGACUCUAUUCACUCUGUUGACCAUAUUGACCUUAUUGACUCUAUUGACUAUAUUGACUCUUUUGACUAUAUUUACUCUAUUUACUCUAUUGAUUACAUUGACUCUAUUGACUACAUUGACUAUAUUGACUUUAUGGACCCUAUUGACUCUAUUUAAAUUGUUUAUAUUGACCUUAUUGACUCUAUUGAACCUAUUUACAGUAUUGUCUAUAUUGUCCCUAUUGACUCUAUUAACUAUUUUGACCCUAUUGACAUUAUUAACUCUAUUGACUCUAUUAACUCUAUUGUCUAUAUUGACACAAUUGACUCUAUUGACUCUAUUGACUCUGUUGACUCUGUUGACUCUAUUGACUACAUUGACCUUAUUGACUCUAUUGACUCUAUUGACCGUAUUGACCAUAUUGACUCUAUUGACUCUAUUUACUCUAUUGAUUACAUUGUCUCUAUUGGAUACAUUGACUAUAUUGACUCUAUGGACCCUAUUAACUAUAUUGACCCUAUUGACUAUAUUGACCCUAUUGACUAUAUUGACCCUAUUAACUAUAUGGACCCUAUUGACUAUAUUGACCCUAUUGACUAUAUUGACCCUACUGACUCUAUCGACCGUAUUGACUAUAUUGACUCUUUUUACUCUAUUGACACUAUUUACUCUAUUGACUCUAUUAAAUAUAUUAAGUCUAUUGACCAUAUUGACAAUAUUGACUAUAUUGACACUAUUUACUCUAUUAAAUAUAUUAAGUCUAUUGACUAUAUUGACAAUAUUGACUAUAUUGACACUAUUUACUCUAUUUACUCUAGUGUCUAUAUUGAUAACAUUGUCUCUAUUGGAUACAUUGACUAUAUUGACUCUAUGGACCCUAUUAACUAUAUUGACCCUAUUGACUAUAUUGACCCUAUUGACUAUAUUGACCCUACUGACCUCAUUGACUCUAUUGACUAUAUUGACCCUAUUGACUCUAUUAAGUAUUUUGACUCUAUUGACUAUAUUGACUCUUUUUACUCUAUUGACUCUAUGAAAUAUAUUAAGUCUAUUGACUAUAUUGACAAUAUUGACUAUAUUUACUAUAUUUACUCUAGUGUCUAUAUUGAUUACAUUGUCUCUAUUGGAUACAUUGACUAUAUUGACUCUAUGGACCCUAUUAACUAUAUUGACCCUAUUGACUAUAUUGACCCUAUUGACUAUAUUGACAAUUUUGACCCUAUUGACUCUAUUAAGUAUUUUGACUCUAUUGACUAUAUUGACUCGUUUUACUCUAUUGACACUAUUUACUCUAUUGACUCUAUUAAAUAUAUUAAGUCUAUUGACUAUAUUGACAAUAUUGACUAUAUUGACACUAUUUACUAUAUUUACUCUAGUGUCUAUAUUGACUAUUUUGACUCUAUCGACUAUAUUGACAAUAUUGACUAUAUUAACUCUAUUUACUCUAUUGUCUAUAUUGACUAUUUUGACACUAUUGACUAUAUUGACCCUAUUUACUAUAUUUACUCUAUUGUCUAUAUUGACUAUUUUGACACUAUUGACUAUAUUGACCCUAUUUACUAUAUUUACUCUAUUGUCUAUAUUGACUAUUUUGACACUAUUGACUAUAUUGACUAUAUUGACCCUAUUUACUAUAUUUACUCUAUUGUCUAUAUUGACUAUUUUGACACUAUUGACUAUAUUGACCCUAUGGACUCUGUUGACCCUAUUAACUCUAUUGACCCUAUUGACUCUGUUGACCCUAUUGACCGAUUUGACCACAUUGACUCUACUGACAAUGUUGACUAUAUUGUCUCUUUUUACUCUAUUGACUAUAUUGACCCUAUUGACUCUAUUUAUAUUGUUUAUAUUGACACUAUUGACUCUAUUGACUAUAUUGACCCUAUUUACUGUAUUGACACUAUUGACUCUAUGGACCAUAUUGACUCUAUUGACCAUAUUGAUCCUAUUGACCGAUUUGACCCGAUUGACUCUCCUGACUAUACUGAGACUAUUGACUCUACUGACUAUAUUGACCCUAUUUUCUGGAUUGACACUAUUGACUCUAUGGACCCUAUUGACCAUAUUGACUCUAUUGACUAUAUUGACCAUAUUGACUCUAUUGACUAUAUUGACUCUAUUUACCCUAUUUACUAUAUUGACCCUAUUGAAUAUAAUGUCUGUAUUGACUCUAUUGACUAUUACAUUUACAUUUAAGUCAUUUAGCAGACGCUCUUAUCCAGAGCGACUUACAAAUUGGUGCAUUCACCUUAUGAUAUCCAGUGGAACAACCACUUUACAAUAGUGCAUCUAAAUCUUUUAAGGGGGGGGUGGUUAGAAGGAUUACUUUAUCCUAUCCUAGGUAUUCCUUAAAGAGGUGGGGUUUCAGGUGUCUCCGGAAGGUGGUGAUUGACUCCGCUGUCCUGGCGUCGUGAGGGAGCUUGUUCCACCAUUGGGGUGCCAGAGCAGCGAACAGUUUUG
rnacentral:lncRNA from 1 species